AUGUGUCUGUUCCAGACACUCACAUUCACAGAAACACUUGCACGGCUUAAACCAAACACAUCAUCAACACGCUCAUCUCACAUGCUAAUCCAAACAUAUUUAGACAGAUUAUCAUCUACACAGAUUAUCAAAGGAGGGUCACUUUCUACAGUCAAUCCACACAUUCUCUCAGAGGAGAAGGAAUUGAUUUUAAAAAGAUCGACUCAAGUGGUUCUGGAUUGUACGUUUUUCUCUCCUCAUUCUGAAGCAUGUCUCAGAGGAGUAAAACAUCUUCAAAAGAAAGCAGCUCCUCUCGUCCUCCAUCCACAUCAGACGCUCAUCCUCCACGCUCUGCUCUUCGUAACUCCUCCAAAGACUCGAAGAACUCAGGUCACAGGGGCUCAUCUGCUAGCCAAGAACGUGGCGGAAGUAGAUCCUUCAGCCAGAAUUCUGCUAUUGCUGCGGCUUAUACACAGUACCUCAAUGCUCUCUUUGGACAGGACAGAGAUUUACUGCCAGAGGAACUAG
ensembl:lncRNA